GACGAACGCUGGCGGCGUGCUUAACACAUGCAAGUCGAACGGAAAGGCCCUGCUUGUGUGUGGUGCUCGAGUGGCGAACGGGUGAGUAACACGGGAGUAACCUUCCCUUUACUGUGUGAUAACUUCAGGAAACUGGUGCUAAUACCUGAUAGGAGCUCCUGCUGCAUGGUGGUGGUUGGAAAGUUUCGGCGGAUGUGGAUGGACUCGCGGCUUAUCAGCUUGUUGGUGGGGUAGUGGCUUACCAAGGCUUUGACGGGUAGCCGGCCUGAGAGGGUGACCGGCCACCUUGGGACUGAGAUACGGCCCAGACUCCUACGGGAGGCAGCAGUGGGGAAUCUUGCACAAUGGGCGGAAGCCUGAUGCAGCAACGCCGCGUGCGGGAUGACGGCCUUCGGGUUGUAAACCGCUUUCGCCUGUGACGAAGCGUGAGUGACGGUAAUGGGUAAAGAAGCACCGGCUAACUACGUG
rnacentral:rRNA from 1 species